rnacentral:tRNA from 1 species
UCCCUGGUGGUUCAGUGGUUAAGAAUUUGCCUUGCAAUGCAAGGUACACAGGUUCAAUCCCUGGUCAGGGAA